GCCAGCAUGACAUAGUGGUUUGAGCACUGGAAUAUGACUCUGGAGACCAGGGUUCAAUUCCUUGCUUGGGCA